rnacentral:rRNA from 1 species
UUUAAUUGAAGAGUUUGAUCAUGGCUCAGAUUGAACGCUGGCGGCAGGCCUAACACAUGCAAGUCGGGCGGUAACAGGGAGAAGCUUG